rnacentral:rRNA from 1 species
AACGUAGGUCCCGAGCGUUAUCCGGAUUUACUGGGCGUAAAGCGUGUUCAGGCGGUCUAGCAAGUCGGGCAUGAAAUCUCUCGGCUCAACCGGGAGGGGUUGUCCGAUACUGCUGGGCUUGAGGGCAGCAGAGGGUGGUGGAAUUCCGGGUGUAGUGGUGAAAUGCGUAGAUAUCCGGAGGAACACCAGUGGCGAAGGCGGCCACCUGGGCUGUACCCGACGCUCAAACACGAAAGCUAGGGGAGCGAACGGG